UCAAACUUGGUCAUUUAGAGGAAGUAAAAGUCGUAACAAGGUCUCCGUUGGUGAACCAGCGGAGGGAUCAUUACAAGAAGAGUAGAAAUGCUCUGUAAACCCUUUGUGAACCUUACCUUUACACAGUUGCUUCGGCAGGCGGCCCCUGGGAGGGGCCCCGCGGCCUGGCCAGCAGGCGCCUGCCGGAGGGACAACACCAUAAACUCUUUUUGUUGUAUCGCAGUGGCAAUCCGAGUACCUUUAAAAAUUUUAAGUCAAAACUUUCAACAACGGAUCUCUUGGUUCUGGCAUCGAUGAAGAACGCAGC
rnacentral:misc_RNA from 1 species